rnacentral:rRNA from 1 species
GAUGAACGCUGGCGGCGUGCCUAAUACAUGCAAGUCGAGCGAACAGACGAGGCGCUUGCUCCUCUGACGUUAGCGGCGGACGGGUGAGUAACACGUGGAUAACCUACCUAUAAUACUGGGAUAACUUCGGGAAACCGGAGCUAAUACCGGAUAAUAUAUUGAACCGCAUGGUUCAUUAGUAAAAUACGGUUUUUCUGUCACUUAUAGAUGGAUCCGCGCCGCAUUAGAUAGUUGGGAAGUUACCGGCUUACCACGGGGACGAUGCGUGUCCGACCGGAGUGGGUGAUCGGCCACACUGGAACUGAGACACGGUCCAGACUCCUAAGGGAGGCAGCAGAAGGGAAGCUUAGGCAAUGGGGUAAAACCUGACGGAGCAACGCCGAGUGAGUGAUGAAGGUGUUCGGAUCGUAAAACUCUGUUAUUAGGGAAAAACAAAUGUGUAAGUAACUAUGCACGUCUUGACGGUAACUAAUAAGAAAGCCCCGGCUAACUACGUG